CCUACGGGGGGCAGCAGUGGGGAAUAUUGCACAAUGGGGGAAACCCUGAUGCAGCGACGCCGCGUGAGUGAAGAAGUGUUUCGGCACGUAAAGCUCUGUCAGCAGGGAAGAAAAUGACGGUACCUGACCAAGAAGCCCCGGCUAACUACGUGCCAGCAGCCGCGGUAAUACGUAGGGGGCAAGCGUUAUCCGGAUUUACUGGGUGUAAAGGGAGCGCAGACGGCAGCGCAAGUCCGGGGUGAAAGCCCGCGGCCCAACCGCGGGACUGCCCUGGAAACUGUGCGGCUGGAGUGCCGGAGAGGUAAGCGGAAUUCCUAGUGUAGCGGUGAAAUGCGUAGAUAUUAGGAGGAACACCAGUGGCGAAGGCGGCUUACUGGACGGUAACUGACGUUGAGGCUCGAAAGCGUGGGGAGCAAACAGGAUUAGAUACCC
rnacentral:rRNA from 1 species